AUUGAACGCUGGCGGCAGGCUUAACACAUGCAAGUCGAGCGGGGUGAUGGUGCUUGCACUAUCACUUAGCGGCGGACGGGUGAGUAAUGCUUAGGAAUCUGCCUAUUAGUGGGGGACAACAUCUCGAAAGGGAUGCUAAUAGCGCAUACGUCCUACGGGAGAAAGCAGGGGAUCACUGGUGACCUUGCGCUAAUAGACGAGGCUAAGUCGGAUUAGCUAGAUGGUGGGGUAAAGGCCUACCGAGGCGACGAUCUGUAGCGGGUCUGAGAGGCUGAUCCGCCGCACUGGGACUGAGACACGGCCCAGACUCCUACGGGAGGCAGCAGUGGGGAAUAUUGGACAAUGGGGGGAACCCUGAUCCAGCCAUGCCGCGUGUGUGAAGAAGGCCUUAUGGUUGUAAAGCACUUUAAGCGAGGAGGAGGCUCUUUUGGUUAAUACCCAAGAUGAGUGGACGUUACUCGCAGAAUAAGCACCGGCUAACUCUGUGCCAGCCGCCGCAGUAA
rnacentral:rRNA from 1 species